GGCAAAAGAGUGAAAAACAUUAGUGACAACAGCUGCUAAAUGAAAAUCUGACUGAUUUGAAGCAAUAAGGAGGAUUCAUUCAGGCAACAGCAAACUCAGUGGUAGCAGUGUAAGUGAGGGCAGUAUGUGACUUUAUAGAGUUGUGCUAUCUUGUGUAUUUUUGAAGCAGGUGCCAGAUCCUUCAACCUUUAUUCUCUUGAGCCAGGAAUUCAGGAUCAAACCAUCCCUGUCCUUUUCCAUCAGAGAAAUAGUCAAAGCCAAAAGGUAUGAAGUUUCACGAUCAGCUGCAGGAUCAAGAAGGAACCUCAUCUGUUGGCUUAUUAGAAACUCAGAGAACAACAGACAGAGCUGCUAAGAGAAAGGAAGAGUCCAAGGAUAACAGCUGAUGUCAAACCAAACCAGACUAUUGUUCUCUUUUAGGACUUUGGCCAGGUGAGCCUUGUAAGGUGAGGCAGAGUUGCCUUCAUUCCCUUCAUCAACCAGGACAAGUUCUGGAAAGGAGGGCAGCACAUAAUCUGCUUCUUCCCUGAUAACAAAGAGUGCAGAGAAUACUGGUUGGAUGAGGACUCCCUGCUAACCUCUCAGGCCAGGCAGAAUGAGCCUGAAUUUUGGCCUGCCUCUAAAACUGUGGAGGAGUGUUGGGAAAAGCUCACCCCAGGGACACCUAAGGAGAAAGGGAUGUUUUGGUAGUGAGAUUUAAUUUCAAGUUUCCUGCUAGUCUGGGAAAAACUGGGUGGAAGUAACUUAAAAGGUGAGCAGGGAGAGAAUGGUUCAGGUCUGAAGGCUACUACAGACAGCUUUAAAUAAGGCAUGAAACAGAGACAGAGAUGAAGGCUGAGUGAGCAGUGUGAAUCUGGUGGGGUAAUAGCAAAUGAUGAAGGAUUAUAUGGAACUGUUAUCUGUAAACUGAGUAAGGAACGGGCUGGAUUGAUUCACUUUUCAUUUCCAGAUAUUUUACACUUUUAUUUUUUGCAGGCUGCACUAAAACACACUUUCAGCCUUAAAUCUUCUCACGAAGUUGUUGUCUGGGAAUAUUAUACACAAUGGAAACUACUAUCAUAUGUCAAGUAUCAGAGGGGUAGCCGUGUUAGUCUGGAUCUGUAAAAAGCAAACUACAGAAGCAGUUUC